rnacentral:rRNA from 1 species
UGAUGAACGCUGGCGGCGUGCUUAACACAUGCAAGUCGAACGAACCUUCGGGUUAGUGGCGGACGGGUGAGUAACGCGUGAGAAUCUGCCCUCAGGAGGGGGACAACAGUUGGAAACGACUGCUAAUACCCCAUAUGCCGCGAGGUGAAAUGAAUUUCGCCUGAGGAUGAGCUCGCGUCUGAUUAGCUAGUUGGUGUAGGUAAUGGCUCACCAAGGCAUCGAUCAGUAGCUGGUCUGAGAGGAUGAUCAGCCACACUGGGACUGAGACACGGCCCAGACUCCUACGGGAGGCAGCAGUGGGGAAUUUUCCGCAAUGGGCGAAAGCCUGACGGAGCAACGCCGCGUGAGGGAUGAAGGCCUCUGGGCUGUAAACCUCUUUUAUCAAGGAAGAAGAUCUGACGGUACUUGAUGAAUAAGCCACGGCUAAUUCCGUGCCAA